GUCCACGCCCUAAACGAUGUCUACUAGUUGUCGGGUCUUAAUUGACUUGGUAACGCAGCUAACGCGUGAAGUAGACCGCCUGGGGAGUACGGUCGCAAGAUUAAAACUCAAAGGAAUUGACGGGGACCCGCACAAGCGGUGGAUGAUGUGGAUUAAUUCGAUGCAACGCGAAAAACCUUACCUACCCUUGACAUGGCUGGAAUCCUUGAGAGAUCAGGGAGUGCUCGAAAGAGAACCAGUACACAGGUGCUGCAUGGCUGUCGU
rnacentral:rRNA from 1 species